rnacentral:rRNA from 1 species
CAGGAAUCUGCCGGAACCAUCCGGUAAGGCUAAAUACUCUUAAGUGACCGAUAGUGUACAAGUACUGUGAAGGAAAGGUGAAAAGUACUCCUAACAGGAGGGUGAAAUAGAACCUGAAACUGUAUGCCUACAAACGGUAGUAGUCUGAAAUGGAGCUUGCUCCAAAUUGGAUGACUGCGUGCCUUUUGCUUAAUGAUCCUACGAGUUACUCGUAUGUAGCCGGAUAAGGUUUUAAGAACCGGAUCCCCAGCGAAAGCAAGUCCGAAUAGGGCGACAAAUGGUUACAUGCGGUAGACGCGAAACUGUGUGAUCUACCCUUGGUCAGAAUGAAGUAUCGGUAAAACGAUAUGGAGGUUCGAACUGGUGUGGGUUGAAAACCGCUCGGAUGAACUGAGGGUAGGAGCGAAAGACCAAUCAAACUCAGAAAUAGCUCGUACUCCCCGAAAUAGCUUUAGGGCUAGCCUCGAUUAAUUGUAUGCCGGAGGUAAAGCACUAAUUGGGCUAGGGCCGUCACAACGGUACCAAACCCAAAUAAACUCUGAAUACC